rnacentral:rRNA from 1 species
CCUACGGGCGGCAGCAGUGGGGAAUAUUGGACAAUGGGCGAAAGCCUGAUCCAGCCAUGCCGCGUGUGUGAAGAAGGCCUUCGGGUUGUAAAGCACUUUCAGUGGGGAAGAAAGCCUUGGGGCUAAUACCCUCGAGGAAGGACAUCACCCACAGAAGAAGCACCGGCUAACUCCGUGCCAGCAGCCGCGGUAAUACGGAGGGUGCGAGCGUUAAUCGGAAUUACUGUGCGUAAAGCGCGCGUAGGCGGUCUGAUAAGCCGGUUGUGAAAGCCCCGGGCUCAACCUGGGAACGGCAUCCGGAACUGUCAGGCUAGAGUGCAGGAGAGGAAGGUAGAAUUCCCGGUGUAGCGGUGAAAUGCGUAGAGAUCGGGAGGAAUACCAGUGGCGAAAGCGGCCUUCUGGACUGACACUGACGCUGAGGUGCGAAAGCGUGGGUAGCAAACAGGAUUAGAUACCCUUGUAGUC